rnacentral:rRNA from 1 species
UGAAGAGGAGCUUGCUCCUCGGAACAGUGGCGGACGGGUGAGUAACACGUGAGCAACCUGGCUCUAAGAGGGGGACAACAGUUGGAAACGACUGCUAAUACCGCAUAACGUAUCGGGAUGGCAUCUUCCUGAUACCAAAGAUUUUAUCGCUUAGAGAUGGGCUCGCGUCUGAUUAGAUAGUUGGCGGGGUAACGGCCCACCAAGUCGACGAUCAGUAGCCGGACUGAGAGGUUGAACGGCCACAUUGGGACUGAGACACGGCCCAGACUCC